UAAGUUGGUAGUGAAAUUCUGGGGGCUCAACCCCUUACCAUUAUCAAAACUGCAAAGCUAGAGGAUGAGAGAGGUUAUUGGAAUUUCUAGUGUAGGAGUGAAAUCCGUAGAUAUUAGAAGGAACACCGAUGGCGUAGGCAGAUAACUGGCUCAUUCCUGACACUAAGGCACGAAAGCGUGGGUAGCAAACGGGAUUGGAUACCCCGGUAGUCCACGCCGUAAACGAUGCAUGCUA
rnacentral:rRNA from 1 species